rnacentral:tRNA from 2 species
GCGGGUGUGGCGGAACUGGUAGACGCGACGGAUUCAAAAUCCGUUUUUGGUAACAAAGUGUCGGUUCGAUUCCGACCAUCCGUACCA